rnacentral:lncRNA from 1 species
UUUUUCUGUAAUGGCUCUGUUUUUCUGUAAUGGCCCUGUUUUUCUGUAAUGGCCCUGUAUUAAUGCCCAGCUUGUCUGUAUUAAGCCCAGUUUGGGUUUUUAAAUAAAGUUAAUAAAAUUAAACUGUAAAGAGUAUAAUACCUUUUUGUAUUUUAUUUUAUUUAGUAACCAGCAACAAACAUUAAAGAACCAUAUAAAGGGAUCACUGUUCA